CCAUGAUCACCCAAAAGACUCCAUUAAUUACAAGGAAAAGAAAAUAUAUUAUUAAUCUUUUGCGAUUUUAUCUUUCAUAUCAUGAAAAGGUUAUAGAAUUGAUGAAAAUUUAAUAGUACAUUUUUUAUGAUUAGAGAAUUUUUUAUGUGGCUUUCUUAUUAAAAAUGCUAAAGGGAUAAGCGUAACUCAUUGAUAUAUUUAAGGAACAUUCUAAAAUGAAUAUAAUAUUGGAAGGUUUGUCUCAAACAAGUGCUAUAAACUUUUAAAUUUACUUAAGGAGGAAUUGAGCUUUAUAAAUUAUAUAGUGGUGGAAAUAUGACUAUAAUUAUCAAGUUUUUAAGUUUUUUAAUUAUCUUUCUAUUCCUAUCUAUUGUUUUAAUAAAGUUUGAAGGUAAGCCAUUUUUAUCCUUUUCAAGUUUUCUUCUUUAUUUCUCAAAGAUUUUCUUACUGUUUUAUUACAUUGUUUUAUCACCUUUUCUCAUCACAGCAUUUAGGCAUCAAUGUUUGGAGCAUUCACAUUGUUACAGAGUUUUGUGCCGACGUCCCGCAAUACCUAAGUGCGAUUUUCGCAGAGGACUUUGUAAAUGUGUUUAGUCAUUCUUGAGCUCUCAUUAAUUCAAUAAUCUAGUUGUGGAUGUUGGUUAUGAUGUGAGGUGAAAAUGUUUAUAGCUAGCUUAAGUUGAAAUAUAAUUUCUAUCUUGCUUCUAAGUUCUAACGCUAUAAUUUUAUAUUUAUAUAAUAGAAGUUCUAACCCUAUAAUUUUAUAUUUAUAUCAUUAUACCAUUACCCUUAUAACUUA
rnacentral:lncRNA from 1 species